GGCCCAGUGGCGGAAGGUUCCGCGCCUGCGACAAUUAGUGAGGAUGCGAACUGUAUGCAGAAAAUGCUCGUUCGACUCGAGCCUGGGCCG